CCUACGGGUGGCUGCAGUGGGGAAUAUUGGACAAUGGGGGCAACCCUGAUCCAGCCAUGCCGCGUGUGUGAAGAAGGCCCUCGGGUUGUAAAGCACUUUCAGUGAGGAAGAACGCCUGGUGGUUAAUACCCAUCAGGAAAGACAUCACUCACAGAAGAAGCACCGGCUAACGCCGUGCCAGCAGCCGCGGUAAUACGGAGGGGGCGAGCGUUAAUCGGAAUUACUGGGCGUAAAGCGCGCGUAGGUGGCUUGAUAAGCCGGUUGUGAAAGCCCCGGGCUCAACCUGGGAACGGCAUCCGGAACUGUCAAGCUAGAGUGCAGGAGAGGAAGGUAGAAUUCCCGGUGUAGCGGUGAAAUGCGUAGAGAUCGGGAGGAAUACCAGUGGCGAAGGCGGCCUUCUGGACUGACACUGACACUGAGGUGCGAAAGCGUGGGUAGCAAACAGGAUUAGAUACCCCGGUAGUC
rnacentral:rRNA from 1 species